GCCCGCUUGGCUAAGUGGUAUAGCGUGUCACUAGUAGUUCCUUUAGAUUCUUCUUGAGAUUUUACGUGCCAUGACAAGAUCAGCGGUUCGAUUCCGCUAGUGGGCA